CCUACGGGAGGCAGCAGUGAGGAAUAUUGGUCAAUGGCCGAGAGGCUGAACCAGCCAAGUCGCGUGAGGGAAGACGGCCCUACGGGUUGUAAACCUCUUUUGUCGGGGAGCAAAGCGAGUCACGUGUGACUCAUUGAGAGUACCCGAAGAAAAAGCAUCGGCUAACUCCGUGCCAGCAGCCGCGGUAAUACGGAGGAUGCGAGCGUUAUCCGGAUUUAUUGGGUUUAAAGGGUGCGUAGGCGGUCCGUUAAGUCAGCGGUAAAAUUGCGGGGCUCAACCCCGUCGAGCCGUUGAAACUGGCAGACUUGAGUUGGCGAGAAGUACGCGGAAUGCGCGGUGUAGCGGUGAAAUGCAUAGAUAUCGCGCAGAACUCCGAUUGCGAAGGCAGCGUACCGGCGCCAGACUGACGCUGAGGCACGAAAGCGUGGGGAUCGAACAGGAUUAGAUACCCCAGUAGUC
rnacentral:rRNA from 1 species